rnacentral:tRNA from 2 species
AGUGAUAUGGCCGACCCUAGGCGGAGAACUGUAAAUUCUCUUAUAAUAGCCAGUCUAUUUGUCAUUA